rnacentral:rRNA from 1 species
AGUUAGUGGCGCACGGGUGAGUAAUGUAUAGUUAAUCUGCCCUACACUGGAGGACAACAGUUAGAAAUGACUGCUAAUACUCCAUACUCCUUCUUAACAUAAGUUAAAGUCGGGAAAGUUUUUCGGUGUAGGAUGAGACUAUAUUGUAUCAGCUAGUUGGUAAGGUAAUGGCUUACCAAGGCUAUGACGCAUAACUGGUCUGAGAGGAUGAUCAGUCACACUGGAACUGAGACACGGUCCAGACUCCUACGGGAGGCAGCAGUAGGGAAUAUUGCUCAAUGGGGGAAACCCUGAAGCAGCAACGCCGCGUGGAGGAUGACACUUUUCGGAGCGUAAACUCCUUUUGUUAGGGAAGAACACUGACGGUACCUAACGAAUAAGCACCGGCUAACUCCGUGCC